rnacentral:rRNA from 1 species
GACGAACGCUGGCGGCGGGCUUAACACAUGCAAGUCGAACGGAAAGGCCCUGCUUUUUUGUGGUUCUCGAGUGGCGAACGGGUGAGUAACACGUGAGUAACCUGCCCUUGACUUUGGGAUAACUUCAGGAAACUGGGGCUAAUACCGGAUAGGAGCUCCUGCUGCAUGGUGGGGGUUGGAAAGUUUCGGCGGUUGGGGAUGGACUCGCGGCUUAUCAUCUUGUUGGUGGGGUAGUGUCUUACCACGGCUUUGACGGGUGGUCGGCCUGGGAGGGUGACCGGCCACAUUGGGACUGAGAUACGGCCCAGACUGGUAUGGGAGGCAGUAGUGGGGAAUAUUGCACAAUGGGCGGAAGCCUGAUGCCGCAACGCUGCGUGCGGGAAGACGGCCUUCGGGGUGUAAACGGCUUUCGCCUGUGACGAAGCGUGAGUGACGGUAAUGGGUAAAGAAGCACCGGCUAACUACGUG